CUUUUCUUGUUAGUUUUUGAAGUAUGGCCUGCCCGCUGACAUUUGGUGUUGAAGGGCCGCGGUAUUUUGACCGUGCAAAGGUAGCAUAAUCAUUAGUUCUUUAAUUGUGAUCUGGAAUGAAUGGCUUGACGAGGCACGGGCUGUCUUAGUGUUGAAUGUUUUAUUGAAUUUGGUCUUUGAGUUAAAAUUCUUAGAUGUUUUUGUGGGACGAGAAGACCCUAUAGAGUUUGACAUUUGGUUUAUUUACUUGUUUGUUGUUUGUUUAUUUUUGGUGAGUGGGCUUUUUGUUUUGUUGGGGUGAUGGGAGGAAUGUACUUAACUCCUCUUAGUUUUGGUUAUAUUGAUUUAUAAUUGUUUGAUCCAUUUAUUUUGAUUAUAAGACUAAAUUACCUUAGGGAUAACAGCGUUAUCUUCCUUGAGAGUUCUUAUCGGCAGGGGGGUUUGCGACCUCGAUGUUGGAUUAAGGUGAAUUUUUGGUGUAGGGGCUGAAAAUUGUAUUAGGUCUGUUCGACCUUUGGAAUCUU
rnacentral:rRNA from 1 species